UUUACAGAAAAUUCCAGUUCUUCUUCUGCUUUCGCUCCGAUUUCGGCACGAGUCAUUCCAGACUAACUUGGGUACUCCAUAAAUUAUCUCCGAGCCUCGCUUUAAUUCUUUUAGUCAAAGUUAGCGUCAGAAUUCCGAAAAUUCUAUUUACAUUUCGUUUCGCGCCCAAUUUGCGCCGAAACACCUAUUUAUCAUCGGAAUUCAUUCUCACGCGUCCAAAGUCACUCGGGGAUGAUGUCCAACUAGCUCAAUCCGCACUUCGACCCAAUAGAUCAAAGUUGACAUCGCAGCUCCGGGAUGCCAUAUGUUACACAUUGUACGAUAAUGACCCCUCCUCCUUCCGUGCUCAUAUGGUCAGCGUGAUCUUAAAGGAUACAUGUUGUCUGACCUAUACUUCUAUGAUUGAGUGUAUAGUCGCAAAAGAUGAUGUCUGAAUGUUAUAAGAUUUUGCAAUUGUUACUGGUACUGUACAGUGUGUUUAUAUAUUAUUGUGCAAUUGUGAAUGGUACUGGGGAAUUUGUAUAUAUAUGAAUGUGAAUGUACAAUUGUGCACACUGUGAGUGGUUGUUCACAGAUAUUUCAUAUAUGAUUGUGAAUGUGCAUUUGUGAAUUUGUGACUGGUAAUCUUGUAUUCUGCUUAAUCAUAUUGUUGAUGUAUUUUGUGUAAUGUGAGUUGUUGAUAAGAGUCUAGUAAAUUUAUCCUAUUGAUGUAAUGUGUCAAUUUACCGUGAUUUCAUUUUCUCCGAUUUUAUCAUAGAUGAGAUGUUAUCCAAAUUAUAUUAUAUUUGCAAAAUAAUUUUAUGAGAGUUAUCGUAUCGGAGAUAGACAUUCAGAAAGUGCAAUGGCGCACCUGUUGAGAUUGAUGAUGUCCCUCCGCCGGUUGAGGAGGCGCAGGUAAGUAUU
rnacentral:lncRNA from 1 species